GGGCCUAUAGCUCAGUCGGUAGAGCAACCGGCUCAUAACCGGUCGGUCCCUGGUUCGAGUCCAGGUGGGCCCACCA
rnacentral:tRNA from 1 species